UUAAGCGACUAAGCGUACACGGUGGAUGCCCUGGCAGUCAGAGGCGAUGAAGGACGUGCUAAUCUGCGAUAAGCGUCGGUAAGGUGAUAUGAACCGUUAUAACCGGCGAUUUCCGAAUGGGGAAACCCAGUGUGAUUCGUCACACUAUCAUUAACUGAAUCCAUAGGUUAAUGAGGCGAACCGGGGGAACUGAAACAUCUAAGUACCCCGAGGAAAAGAAAUCAACCGAGAUUCCCCCAGUAGCGGCGAGCGAACGGGGAGCAGCCCAGAGCCUGAAUCAGUGUGUGUGUUAGUGGAAGCGUCUGGAAAGGCGCGCGAUACAGGGUGACAGCCCCGUACACAAAAAUGCACAUGCUGUGAGCUCGAUGAGUAGGGCGGGACACGUGGUAUCCUGUCUGAAUAUGGGGGGACCAUCCUCCAAGGCUAAAUACUCCUGACUGACCGAUAGUGAACCAGUACCGUGAGGGAAAGGCGAAAAGAACCCCGGCGAGGGGAGUGAAAAAGAACCUGAAACCGUGUACGUACAAGCAGUGGGAGCACGCUUAGGCGUGUGACUGCGUACCUUUUGUAUAAUGGGUCAGCGACUUAUAUUCUGUAGCAAGGUUAACCGAAUAGGGGAGCCGAAGGGAAACCGAGUCUUAACUGGGCGUUAAGUUGCAGGGUAUAGACCCGAAACCCGGUGAUCUAGCCAUGGGCAGGUUGAAGGUUGGGUAACACUAACUGGAGGACCGAACCGACUAAUGUUGAAAAAUUAGCGGAUGACUUGUGGCUGGGGGUGAAAGGCCAAUCAAACCGGGAGAUAGCUGGUUCUCCCCGAAAGCUAUUUAGGUAGCGCCUCGUGAAUUCAUCUCCGGGGGUAGAGCACUGUUUCGGCAAGGGGGUCAUCCCGACUUACCAACCCGAUGCAAACUGCGAAUACCGGAGAAUGUUAUCACGGGAGACACACGGCGGGUGCUAACGUCCGUCGUGAAGAGGGAAACAACCCAGACCGCCAGCUAAGGUCCCAAAGUCAUGGUUAAGUGGGAAACGAUGUGGGAAGGCCCAGACAGCCAGGAUGUUGGCUUAGAAGCAGCCAUCAUUUAAAGAAAGCGUAAUAGCUCACUGGUCGAGUCGGCCUGCGCGGAAGAUGUAACGGGGCUAAACCAUGCACCGAAGCUGCGGCAGCGACGCUUAUGCGUUGUUGGGUAGGGGAGCGUUCUGUAAGCCUGCGAAGGUGUGCUGUGAGGCAUGCUGGAGGUAUCAGAAGUGCGAAUGCUGACAUAAGUAACGAUAAAGCGGGUGAAAAGCCCGCUCGCCGGAAGACCAAGGGUUCCUGUCCAACGUUAAUCGGGGCAGGGUGAGUCGACCCCUAAGGCGAGGCCGAAAGGCGUAGUCGAUGGGAAACAGGUUAAUAUUCCUGUACUUGGUGUUACUGCGAAGGGGGGACGGAGAAGGCUAUGUUGGCCGGGCGACGGUUGUCCCGGUUUAAGCGUGUAGGCUGGUUUUCCAGGCAAAUCCGGAAAAUCAAGGCUGAGGCGUGAUGACGAGGCACUACGGUGCUGAAGCAACAAAUGCCCUGCUUCCAGGAAAAGCCUCUAAGCAUCAGGUAACAUCAAAUCGUACCCCAAACCGACACAGGUGGUCAGGUAGAGAAUACCAAGGCGCUUGAGAGAACUCGGGUGAAGGAACUAGGCAAAAUGGUGCCGUAACUUCGGGAGAAGGCACGCUGAUAUGUAGGUGAAGUCCCUCGCGGAUGGAGCUGAAAUCAGUCGAAGAUACCAGCUGGCUGCAACUGUUUAUUAAAAACACAGCACUGUGCAAACACGAAAGUGGACGUAUACGGUGUGACGCCUGCCCGGUGCCGGAAGGUUAAUUGAUGGGGUUAGCGCAAGCGAAGCUCUUGAUCGAAGCCCCGGUAAACGGCGGCCGUAACUAUAACGGUCCUAAGGUAGCGAAAUUCCUUGUCGGGUAAGUUCCGACCUGCACGAAUGGCGUAAUGAUGGCCAGGCUGUCUCCACCCGAGACUCAGUGAAAUUGAACUCGCUGUGAAGAUGCAGUGUACCCGCGGCAAGACGGAAAGACCCCGUGAACCUUUACUAUAGCUUGACACUGAACAUUGAGCCUUGAUGUGUAGGAUAGGUGGGAGGCUUUGAAGUGUGGACGCCAGUCUGCAUGGAGCCGACCUUGAAAUACCACCCUUUAAUGUUUGAUGUUCUAACGUUGACCCCUAAUCGGGGUUGCGGACAGUGUCUGGUGGGUAGUUUGACUGGGGCGGUCUCCUCCUAAAGAGUAACGGAGGAGCACGAAGGUUGGCUAAUCCUGGUCGGACAUCAGGAGGUUAGUGCAAUGGCAUAAGCCAGCUUGACUGCGAGCGUGACGGCGCGAGCAGGUGCGAAAGCAGGUCAUAGUGAUCCGGUGGUUCUGAAUGGAAGGGCCAUCGCUCAACGGAUAAAAGGUACUCCGGGGAUAACAGGCUGAUACCGCCCAAGAGUUCAUAUCGACGGCGGUGUUUGGCACCUCGAUGUCGGCUCAUCACAUCCUGGGGCUGAAGUAGGUCCCAAGGGUAUGGCUGUUCGCCAUUUAAAGUGGUACGCGAGCUGGGUUUAGAACGUCGUGAGACAGUUCGGUCCCUAUCUGCCGUGGGCGCUGGAGAACUGAGGGGGGCUGCUCCUAGUACGAGAGGACCGGAGUGGACGCAUCACUGGUGUUCGGGUUGUCAUGCCAAUGGCACUGCCCGGUAGCUAAAUGCGGAAGAGAUAAGUGCUGAAAGCAUCUAAGCACGAAACUUGCCCCGAGAUGAGUUCUCCCUGACUCCUUGAGAGUCCUGAAGGAACGUUGAAGACGACGACGUUGAUAGGCCGGGUGUGUAAGCGCAGCGAUGCGUUGAGCUAACCGGUACUAAUGAACCGUGAGGCUUAACCUU
rnacentral:rRNA from 1 species